rnacentral:misc_RNA from 1 species
GCUGUUUUUGUUUGUUUGUGUGUUUCUUUCGUGAAGCGCCCAUGGAAGUGUCCUAACUGGAGAUGCUACGUGAUGCUACGCCGGUGACAAUCCACAAGCUUGCGACUGAUUUUCUCGAGGCACCAGAUCGGAUGCAAUGAUCGACGACCACCCCCUUAGCCCACGCUCGGGAACCUAAAAAAUUGGAAACAUGUCGUCUGAAAAGUUGAAGGCGACGCUGCAGGAGGAAUACCCGCUUCACUGGCUGGCUUGGCACAACGACUAUGACGCCCUCAAAAUCUUGUUGGAGCAGAAUGCGGACGGCAUUGAGCAGCGGGACUGCAGGGGCCGAUCGGCGCUCAUGCUGGCGGUCACCCUGGGACACCUGGAAGCGUCCAAGAUACUCCUCAACCACGGAGCCAACGUCAACGUAGAGAACAACGACGGCUACACGGUGGUGCACGAAGCGGUGAGCACUGGUGAUCCGGAGCUCCUGGCGGAGGUGCUGACUCACCGCGACCUCCAACGUUACAGCACAUCAGUCGGCGGUAUCCCUGAUCUUCUCAAACGCAUCCGGGACACCCCUGACUUCUAUGUGGAAAUGAAGUGGGAGUUCACGAGCUGGGUACCCCUCCUGUCACGGAUGUGUCCGAGCGACACCUACAAGGUUUACAAAAGCGGCCCGAAUGUUCGCAUCGACACCACCUUGCUGGGCUUCGACCAGUCCAGCUGGCAGCGAGGACGCCGGAGCUACAUCUUCAAGGGCCAAGAGGACCUGGCGAUCAUGAUGGAGGUGGACCACGACGCCUGCCAGGUGCACGUGGAGCAGAUGCAGGUGCUGCCCCCGGAGUAUGUGGACCUGGCAGGCAGCCUGAGGCCCUCCCCGGACGCCGUCUCGGCCAGGCUCACCUCCCCCGUGGUGGCCACCUACAUCGACACGGACAAGAUCAGCUUCGAAAGAAACAAGUCUGGGAUCCUCGGCUGGAAGAGCGACAAGAACGAAACCAUCAAUGGCCACAACUGCAAGGUGUUCAGUGCCACCAACGUGGAGCUGGUGACCAAGACGCGGACGGAGCAUCUGUCCGAGGUAGACAAGGCACGCCAUCGAGCUGCACGCUCCCCGCUCCAGUCCUUCCUCGGCACCGUGCAGGUGGAGGAGGCGGCCGGCGUUCCCAAUGGGGACGUGAUGGAGUGCCGGGGCAACCCGUGCCACAUCCGUCCGGAGGAGUACUUCAACGCCCAGCUGGACCUGGGGGGGAGGGACAUUGGGCGGCCCAGGGAGACCACCGUGCGCACCCACAAGUUCAGGGCCAACCUCUGGCUCUGCGAGGACUACCCCCUCUCUCUGCCCCAGCAGAUUCUUCCCAUCGUCGACCUCAUGUCCAUCAACAGCUCGCACUUCGCGAGACUACGAGAUUUCAUCACCCUCCAGCUUCCCGCAGGUUUCCCAGUCAAGAUCGAGAUCCCGCUGUUCCACGUGCUGAAUGCGAGGAUCACGUUCGGCAACAUCAACACCGUGGACGAGUCGGUGGCCGGGGUGACGACCCGCCGCGACGACGGGGUGGUGACAUGCAGCAUCGAGGACUACUGCUUCGAGCCCCCCGGCGGCUACACCAAGCUGGACGGCGCGAGGGCCCCUCGUGCUCCUCCUCCUCGCCCCAGGGACCCCGAAACUAGACGCAAACAUAGGGAGAAGCGUCGCCAAGAGAUCUGUGCCAAAUACGGCCAGAAAACGGCAGCCCUCGCCGUGCCCGCCAAAGGGGCCCACUUGCCGGUGCCAACAAGCUUCGACAGUUCAGCGUUGACGAGGACGACGAGCUCCUCCAGUACGCCAUCGAACAGUCGCUCGUGGAGGCAGGCAGCGAGGAGGAUCAGGUCACUGUUUGGGAAGCCCUGACUGCGAGCCGGCCAGCCGUCACCCCAGAGCUCGACGAAGAUCACGCACUGCAGAGGGCCAUCCAGGAGAGCAUCGCGAGCUACCAGCGUUCGUGCGGCAGCGCGGAGGAGGUGGCCGGCGGGAAGGCGGCGAGGGACUACGCGCCGCCCGCGGCCAAGGCCGCCACAGGGAACGGGGGCGAGGAGGAUCUG